CGAACGCUGGCGGCGUGCUUAACACAUGCACGUCGAACGGAAAGGCCCCUUUGGGGGUACUCGAGUGGCGAACGGGUGAGUAACACGUGAGUAACCUGCCCUUGACUUCGGGAUAACUUCAGGAAACUGGGGCUAAUACCGGAUAGGAAUCCUUGCUGCAUGGUGGGGGUUGGAAAGCUUCGGCGGUUUUGGAUGGACUCGCGGCUUAUCAGCUUGUUGGUGGGGUAGUGGCUUACCAAGGCUUUGACGGGUAGCCGGCCUGAGAGGGCGACCGGCCACAUUGGGACUGAGAUACGGCCCAGACGCCUACGGGAGGCAGCAGUGGGGAAUAUUGCACAAUGGGCGGAAGCCUGAUGCAGCAACGCCGCGUGCGGGAUGACGGCCUUCGGGUUGUAAACCGCUUUCAGCAGGGGCGAAGCUUGUGGUGACGGUACCUGCAGAAGAAGCACCGGCUAACUACGUG
rnacentral:rRNA from 1 species